rnacentral:rRNA from 1 species
UUAAACUAAGAAUAUAACGGGUGGAGCUUUAUAUUCAAAAAUGAAUAAAAGAUGAGUAAAUAAAUUAAUUAUUAAUAAAUUAGGCUUUUUAGUGGCCAAAUUUUUAAAGUAUUUAAACUAAAUAAAAUUAAAAAAAUUUUAUUAUUAUUCUCUUAAUUCUAGUAGUAGAAUAUUUUUAAUAUUAAAAGUGGAUUAGUAAUAAUGAAAAUAUUAGUAGAUUAUAAAUAUUAUAAUUAAAAAAUAAAUUAUAAAAUAUAUUUUAAUAAAACAGAGAGGAAAAUUGAAGGAAUUCGGCAAAUAUUUUUCUUGCCUGUUUAACAAAAACAUGUCUGUAUGAAGUUUUAUAGAGUCUGGCCUGCCCGUUGAAGAAAUUUGAAAGGCCGCGGUAUAUUAACUGUGCAAAGGUAGCAUAAUCAUUAGUUUUUUAAUUGAAAACUUGUAUGAAGGGUCUGACAAAGAAAAAUCUGUCUUCAAUUUUAUUUUUGAAAUUAACUUUUAAGUGAAAAGGCUUAAAUAAAUUUAAGGGACGAUAAGACCCUAUAAAUCUUUAUAUUAUAUUAUUAUCUUUAAUUUUAAUCAAUUUGUCUAGAAUUAUAAGUAAUAUAAUAAAUAUUUUGUUGGGGUGACGAGAAUAUAAAGUUAACUGUUCUUAUAAAAAACAAAGUUGUUUGUUUAAUAAUGAUAGAUCCUUUUUAAAGAUUAUAAGAUUAAGUUACUUUAGGGAUAACAGCGUUAUUUUUUUUGAGAGUUCAUAUCGAAAAGAAAGUUUGCGACCUCGAUGUUGAAUUAAAAUUUCUCUACGGUGUAGAAGUUGUGGAAGAGAGUCUGUUCGACUUUUAAAAUUUU